AUGUGUAUAAGAGCCAGUGGGGAAAAGAAAACCACCCAAAUAUCCAUUAACAGGAGAACUGUGGGCUACUCAUAAAAUGGAGCACUACUCAGCAAUAAAAAUGAACAAACCACCAGUAUACACAAUAACACGGAUGGACCUCAAAAACAUUACAC